AGAGUUUGAUCCUGGCUCAGGAUGAACGCUAGCGGCAGGCUUAACACAUGCAAGUCGAGGGGUAACAGAGUAGCUUGCUACUGCUGACGACCGGCGCACGGGUGCGUAACGCGUAUACAAUCUACCUUAUACUGGGGUAUAGCCUUUAGAAAUGAAGAUUAACCCCCCAUAGUCUCUAAGAGUGGCAUCACAUUUAGAGUAAAGGUUACGGUAUAAGAUGAGUAUGCGUUCUAUUAGUUUGUUGGUGAGGUAACGGCUUACCAAGACUACGAUAGAUAGGGGCCCUGAGAGGGGGAUCCCCCACACUGGUACUGAGACACGGACCAGACUCCUACGGGAGGCAGCAGUGAGGAAUAUUGGACAAUGGAGGCAACUCUGAUCCAGCCAUGCCGCGUGUAGGAUGACUGCCCUAUGGGUUGUAAACUACUUUUAUACAGGAAGAAACACCUCUACGUGUAGAGGCUUGACGGUACUGUAAGAAUAGGGAUCGGCUAACUCCGUGCCAGCAGCCGCGGUAAUACGGAGGAUCCAAGCGUUAUCCGGAAUCAUUGGGUUUAAAGGGUCCGUAGGUGGAUAAUUAAGUCAGAGGUGAAAUCUUGCAGCUCAACUGUAAAAUUGCCUUUGAAACUGGUUAUCUUGAGUUAUUAUGAAGUAGUUAGAAUAUGUAGUGUAGCGGUGAAAUGCAUAGAUAUUACAUAGAAUACCAAUUGCGAAGGCAGAUUACUAAUAAUCAACUGACACUGAUGGACGAAAGCGUGGGUAGCGAACAGGAUUAGAUACCCUGGUAGUCCACGCCGUAAACGAUGGUUACUAGCUGUUUGGACUUCGGUCUGAGUGGCUAAGCGAAAGUGAUAAGUAACCCACCUGGGGAGUACGUUCGCAAGAAUGAAACUCAAAGGAAUUGACGGGGGCCCGCACAAUCGGUGGAGCAUGUGGUUUAAUUCGAUGAUACGCGAGGAACCUUACCAGGGCUUAAAUGUAAGUUGCAUUAGUUAGAGAUAGCUAUUUCUUCGGACCACUUACAAGGUGCUGCAUGGUUGUCGUCAGCUCGUGCCGUGAGGUGUCAGGUUAAGUCCUAUAACGAGCGCAACCCCUGUUGUUAGUUGCCAGCGAGUCAUGUCGGGAACUCUAACAAGACUGCCAGUGCAAACUGUGAGGAAGGUGGGGAUGACGUCAAAUCAUCACGGCCCUUACGUCCUGGGCUACACACGUGCUACAAUGGUAGGGACAGAGAGCAGCCACUGGGCGACCAGGAGCGAAUCUAUAAACCCUAUCACAGUUCGGAUCGGAGUCUGCAACUCGACUCCGUGAAGCUGGAAUCGCUAGUAAUCGGAUAUCAGCCAUGAUCCGGUGAAUACGUUCCCGGGCCUUGUACACACCGCCCGUCAAGCCAUGGAAGUUGGAAGUGCCUGAAGUCCGUCACCGCAAGGAGCGGCCUAGGGUAAAGUCGAUAACUAGGGCUAAGUCGUAACAAGGUA
rnacentral:rRNA from 1 species